rnacentral:rRNA from 1 species
GCAGGUACACGCUAGGCUUGUAUGCUUAUACACAUGCCAAGAGGAACGGUAGAGCGGCCUAACCCAUUGAGAGUGGCGAAUCGGCGUGAGUAAUACAUCGGCAACGUGCCCAGUACGUGGGCAGGAUAACGUAGCCGAAUAGCUACGCUAAUACCGCAUACGACCUGAGGGUGAAAGCGGCGGGAACCUGCAAGGUGCCUCGCGCGAUUGGAGCCUGGCCUGAUGGCAGAUUAGGUAGUUGGUGGAGGUAAAGGCUCACCAGCCGACCGUAACUCUGUAGCUGGUCUGAGAGGACCGACCAGCCACACUGGGACUGAAGACACGGCGCUCAGGACUCCAUACGCGCGAGCGCAAGCAGUGGCUGCGAAUUAUUGGUACAAUGGCGCGCAAGCCUUGAUCCAGCCAUACCGCGUGCAGCGAAGAAGACCUUCGGGUUGUAAACUGCCGUCUUAGUCACGGCGAUAGAUAAUCUAAUACGCGCUGGCGAGGCAUGACGAGUACCUGAAGAGAUAAGCACCGGCUAACUACGGGCCAGCAGCCGCGGUAAUACGUAGGGUGCAAGCGUUAAUCACUGACAUAUACUGCAGCGUAAAGCGUGCGCAGCGCGGCGAUCUUGUAAGACAGAGGUGAAUCAUCCUGCCGGCGCUCAAGCCUGUCGGAUACUGCUUGAUGUGACUGCAAAGCUUGAGUGCGGACAGAGGGGAUGGAAUUCCGCGUGUAGAGUGAAAUGCGUAGAUAUGCGCUAACACCGAUGGCGAAGGCAAUCCUCCUGGCCUGCACUGACGCUCUGCACGAAAGCGUGGUCGGAGCAAACAGGAUUAAGAUACCCUGGUAUCCGACGCGCCUAAACGAUGUCAACUGGUUGUUGAGGAGUGCGUUAUCUUCUCAGUUAACGAACGCUAACGCGUGGACAGUAUGACCGCCUGGGAGUACGGCCGCAAGGUUGAAACUCAAAGGAAUUGACGGCCGGACUCCGCACAAGCGGUGGAUGAUGUUGUUCUAAUUCGAUGCAACUGCGAUCGACCUUACCUACGAGCCGUGAUCAUGGCAGUGAAUCCUGAAGACGAUUAUGGGAGUGCUCGACAAGGAGAACCUGCACACAAGGUGGCUGCAUGGCCGUCGUCAAGCUGUGUCGUCGAGAUGUUGCGGUUAUAGUCCGCGCAACGAAUGCGCAACCUCCUUGUCAUUAAGUUGCUACGAAAGAGGCUAACUCUAAUGGACUGCCGGUGACAUAGACCGGAGGCAAGCGUGGCGGAUGACGUCAGUGUCCUCAUGGCCUCUUAUGGGUAGGGCUACCACACGUCAUACAAUGGCCGGUAACAGAGGAGCUGCCAACCCGGUCGAGGUGCGGAAGCCAAUCGCCAGAACAACCGGUCGUAGUCCUGGAUCGCAAGUCUGCAACUCGGACUGCCGUUGAGAGUCGGAAUCGCCUAAGUACAUCGCGCGAUCAGCUGUGCGCGCGGUGAAUACGUAUCCUCGGCGUCUUCAUUAGUACACCA